AGGUGGUUAGUCUAAUUAAAACACUUGAUUUCGGCUCAAAAACAUGUGGUUAGAUUCCACACCCGCCUA
rnacentral:tRNA from 1 species